GGCGAACGGGUGAGUAACACGUUGGUUUAACCUGCCUGGAUGUGGGGGAUACCCCGGGGAAACUCGGGACAAUACCGCAUGAUGUCUCUCGGGCGUCGGCCUGGGAGAGCAAAGCCGGGGACCGCAAGGCCUGGCGCAUCCGGAGGGGACCGCGGCCGAUUAGCUAGUUGGCGGGGUAAUGGCCCACCAAGGCGACGAUCGGUAGCCGGCCUGAGA
rnacentral:rRNA from 1 species